AUACGUAGGGUGCAAGCGUUAAUCGGAAUUACUGGGCGUAAAGCGUGCGCAGGCGGUUUUGUAAGACAGUGGUGAAAUCCCCGGGCUCAAACUGGGAACUGCCAUUGUGACUGCAAGGCUGGAGUGCGGCAGAGGGGGAUGGAAUUCCGCGGGUAGCAGUGAAAUGCGUAGAUAUGCGGAGGAACACCGAUGGCGAAGGCAAUCCCCUGGGCCUGCACUGACGCUCAUGCACGAAAGCGUGGGGAGCAAACAGGAUUAGAUACCCUGGUAGUCCACGCCCUAAACGAUGUCAACUGGUUGUUGGGGAUUUAUUUUCUCAGUAACGAAGCUAACGCGUGAAGUUGACCGCCUGGGGAGUACGGCCGCAAGGUUAAAACUCAAAGGAAUUGACGGGG
rnacentral:rRNA from 1 species